CAGUAGCUGACGAGUGCCAAAUAGGACGAAAUGCACAUUGCUGUGG
rnacentral:hammerhead_ribozyme from 1 species